rnacentral:lncRNA from 10 species
GCACUGUCAUGUAGAAUCAGUGGGAGCCAUGAGCUUGUUUUCCUGCAAGUGGACGGUCCCAUCUGGGGGUGAUGGGAGACAAUGACAGGUCAUCGGGCAUUCGAUUCCUAUAAGGGGCAUGCAACCUGGAUCCCUGCCCGUGCAGUUCACAGUAGGGUGUGCGCUCCUAUGAGAAUCUAAUGGCCCCGCUGAUCCGACAGGAGGCUCCGGCGGCCAUGCAGGCAAUGGGGACUGGCUGUAAACAGAUGAAGCUUCGCUGGCUCACCUGCCGCUCACCUCCUGCUUCGUGGCCUGGCUCCUAACAGGCCAUGGACUGGUGCCGUGGGGGUUGGGACCCCUGCUUGGAAGAACCCAGCUAAGAAGAGUCAGAAAUGGGUCUGGGGGCAGCAAUGACUUUCUCCGAUUUUUCCUUCCAGGGAUCCCACUGGGAACUGCACAGUAUUUAAGACACUGCUGGUGAAAACAGACAACUCUACCACGUACAGAAUCUAUUCCUGCGUGGUCGGCUGUAACUGAGGUGAGUGCCACAAGGCCUCUGCGUGUGUUCAGAGUGUCCACACCAGACUCCGGCCGGACUCAUGGGCCCUGGGACUCCGCAGCCCUCGACCUUGGCAGCCUCCUUGCCUGUGGGUGCUUGAAUGCCACGCAGCAUCCGACACAUCCCACAACCUUGAGUCUGCUAUGAGUCAAGUGUGGUCGCUGUAGAUAAGGAGGAAAAAAGAUCAUGAAAAAGAACAACAACAACAAAAAAUCACUCAUGGCCGGGCGCGGUGGCUCAUGCCUGUAAUCCCAGCACUUUGGGAGGCCAAGGCAGGCAGAACACGAGGUCAAGAGAUCAAAACCAUCCUGGCUAACACGGUGAAACCCUGUCUCUACUAAAAAUACAAAAUAUUAGUCAGGUGUGGCGGCAGGCGCCUAUAAUCCCAGCUACUCGGGAGGCUGAGGCAGGAGAAUGGCGUGAACCCAGGAGGUGGAGCUUGCAGUGAGCCGAGAUCGCGCCACUGCACUCCAGCCUGGGCAACAGAGCAAGACUCCAUUUCAAAAACAAACAAACAAAAAUCACUCCUAAGCUCACCACCCAGGCCAAUGUACUCCAGAAAAAGGGAGAAGGCUUCACCACCUCCCUGUGUGAUUUCAUGUCCCAAGCUCUGUGUCUCAGGGUGUAGGAAGCCCUCUGUUGAAUAAGUCCACCCUCCCUGGCCACAGCCUUAGUCCUACUUGCUGUUUGGGAACAGAAGAUCCCUGCCCGGUGCCUACAGAGGGGUGGGCAGAGGCUGAAACCCUCCUCCAUCUUCCCUCCCAGGCCCCAGGAGCCGAAGAUUCCUCUUCUCACGACAUGAAGCUCCCCUCCCCUCCUCCAGUCCUCAGCUUUCCUUUCUAAGAGAGAAGAGACCGGGGCCUGGGCAGUGAGUGGACAGGACUGUCCCCCUGUCCUCCUCUGUAGGUGCACGCCCCUACAGGUGACACCUCUGGGUCCUCCACACCCUCAGUAGGAGCUCCAGGGCAUGGCUGGUCUCCCAGCCACACGGGAAGCCACAGGAUCCCCAUGGGACAUCCCCAGCCACGUGCCACACUCAGUAACCACCCGUGGGCUUGUGUGCAAAUCCCUGAAGUCAGUGAUGGCUCAAAUGUCGUCUCUGCCACCGUGGAGGUUGGCCAUGGGGGAAAGGUGACGGGGGCAGAAGGGUGAGGGCUCCAAGUGGCUCGAGGAAGGGGCCAUGGUGUGAGCAGGGGCACGGGCGGGCAGUCAAGGAGCUGGGAAGGGCCAGCCAGUCCUGCCCUGGAGCCUCCGGGAGGAGCCAGCGCUGCGGACACCUUGGCUGUAGCCAGGGAGGCUCACUUUGGACUUCCAACCUCCACACCUGUCAGAGGCCACGAGUGUUUAGCCAUUAAAGAAACCUCCAGGGGCUGCGGUGACAAAUGACCACAGACUCAGGAGCUGAACACAACGCACAUGCAUUGUCUCACAAUUCUGGAGUCAAAAGUCUAGAAACAGUCGGUGGGGCUGGUUCCUUCUGGAGACUUCUGGGAAGGGGAGAAGCCGCUUUCUUGGCUUUCCCAGUUUCUGGAGUGGCUGCAUCCUGCACUCUCGGCCCCGCCAUGCCACCAAGGCCUCCGUUUCUGUAGCCUCUGCUGCUCUCUGGCAUCUGCACGGUUGCCCCGAAGCCGCUCCGCGACGGCCCUCCCUGAGCUGUGUAGCGCUGGGGGGAGGAGGCGUGGCCACAGUGGGCUGCAUUCAGGAUCUUGAAAGCCACUGAAGCCAUGGCUGGCUCUCAGUCCUCAGGGAGCCUCUUCCCCUGCCUGGCACCAGGCUCCCAGAAUCUGGGAGGCAGCCUCUUCAUCUGGCUGCUGGUGGAGACCUGAGCCCAGCCCCAGGGUCCUCAGUCCUGCCCCUUGUCCUCCGCAAGCUCUCACUACAUCCUACCUAUGUCCAGGGACCUCGGCCCAUGCAUCUGCCCAGAUCCCAGCCUACCCGAGAGCAUGCAUCCCCAACUGGACCAGCACCCAACACAGCCCAGGGCUCCCCUGACCCACAUAAACCUUGUUAAUAUUGCCUCUGUGGUCUCUGCUUGUUGCCUGAGGGGUGGAGGUGGGGGGUAUCUGCUCAGACUGGCUCCAGCGCGUCCUAAGGCCAGGCCCUUCCCAAAGGAGAGUGAAGCCAGGCCCCAUGAGUCCCAGCUGGACAGGAAG